rnacentral:lncRNA from 10 species
UGAACACACAUAGCAUCCCUACUGUCCAGGCCAACACGCAGCUCAGCCCUCUUUCUCUAUGUUUGCUACCUCUGUGGCUCACAUCUUCCCAGGGUUUCAGGAAACGACUAUAGAGCCCCCUCGCAUGGGGCAGAACAUACAGGUGGUUGGAAUGAGGUGGGACAAAAAAAAAUGAGACAACGGCCGAGAGUGGUGGCUCAUGCCUAUAAUCACAGCACUCUGGGAGGCUGAGGUAGGCGGAUCACCUGAGGUCAGGAAUUCGAGACCAGCCUGGCCAAGAUGGCAAAAUCCCGUCUCUACUAAAAAUAUAAAAAUUAGCCGGGUUGUAGAGGAGAUAAGCUCAGAAGGGUUAAAAACCUUGCUCAAGGUCUAAAACCUUGUAAGGUCUGAUCAUUACUACCUAGACCCACCAUCCCACUCCAGCAAUGACCGCCUGUGCUAACUGUAUUAUCGCACAAAGGUGGUAAUGCUUGGAGUGGACAUUCAUCUGCUCUUUUACCUGCGUGACAUCGCUGCUGCUUGUCUUCCUUUAGACAACUGCUCUGCCUCCCUCUAAAAACCCACAUAGUGUUGGAAUGGGCUGCCAAUCACAGUAGCCCAUCACCUUACCCUGGGGUUCCACUGCUGGGCACAGUGCCAAAGCUGAGCCAGUCUUAGUCCUCUAGCCCUGGCCACAGUGACCGGGCCUCAUGUGGACACAUAACACUGGCCAGACCAAUCAGAAUCCUACCAUGAGGUUUGUCUGCCUGGGCUGAUUGGAUAGAGCUCCCUUUCUUCCCUGGUCAGGGGCUGUGAACCUGAACAGAGGGGCCUGAGGUCAUGUUCAGACCCGUGGGAAAAGCCCACAGCAUCGAUCCAAGAGGUCAAACGUCCCAAAGGCCAGUUUCCACCAUCCAUCCAAAGGUUGUGGAAUAUUCUAAGUCAAUACAUUUCUCUUUUUCUACCUAAGAUGAUCUGAGCUAAGUUUCUGUCAUUUUGCAAUAAAGGUACCCUGAAAUGAUACACAGAUAAAAUCUGCCCUUCACUUAAAAACCUCUUCUCAACCAUUAAUUUCAAAUGACUCUGCCACUUCCUCUUAAAUAACACAAUUAAAACCACCUAAAUUAGCCAUGCAGGGUGGCAUGCGCCUGUAAUCUUAGCUACUAAGGAGGCUGAGGCAGGAGGAUGGCUUGAGCCCAGGAGUUUGAGGCUGCAGUGAGCUAUGAUUGCACCACUGCACUCCACUGUCUCUAAAAAAUAAGUAAAUAAACAAACAAAAGAACCAAAAGAAAAACCACAACAGCUGGAGCUUUUACUUAUGUCCCUUGCCCUGCUGACCCUCCAGGGCAGAGGGGAUGAAGAAAAGGUGGCUGGUACCCGAAGGAAGUGGAGAGAGAACAAAAGGCCAGGCAACCUCUGCUGAAUAAUAAAUAACCCACACCUGACAAUCAGCACCCAUCUGCAUUAGUCCCACUAGAAAAGCCUGGCAGGGUUAUUCCCUUGGGGAAAAAAAACAAACUUCCAGCUCUAAUUUCUGACAGUGUACAAUGCCUAAAUUCAAACCUCCCACUCAGCCUAGCCAUUAAGGUCCUCCAGAUUACCUCUGCAUCCCCAAUUCCCUUCCACCCAGAGCCAAGGCCAAACCCCUGCUCUGCUCAGGCUGGGUAAACACAUGGCUCCUCUCUAUGGCUCAGCCUGUGCGGUCCAGCCUACGCAGCCCACACGUCCUCCCUCCAUGGCUCCAUGCAUUCAGAGCUUCACUUCAACACCAAGUCCCAGCACAUUCGUGAAGCUCUCCUCGGCUUCUCCAGCGGACGCUGCUGGCUCCAUUCUCUUAAGUUUGAUGAAGCAAGCCAGCCAGUUCACUAGGAAAGUAAAGAGGAGGCACAGGAGGUGUGGGGAGUGGGAACGAGAAGGAAACAUCAGGCAAUGAGCACGCGAGAGGUCCAGCCAAGUUCUGCCAUUUCUGCCUCCCAAUAGAGGCCUGGUGGGAAUGACUUGAGGAGUCCCACAUUUAGAUGGUAAUGAGAGCCACUAAAGGUGAAUGAGAGUAUCUGGGGAAAGUGUGUAGCAUACCGAGUUUUUUAUAAAAGAAAAAGCCUGUUUGUGCAUCUCUAUCAGUUGACCUGUCUCAUAAUGUCACUCUCAUGAGCGUCCCAUUCCCCCAACAAGGCGGCAAGCUACGGACUAGAAUUACAUCCUGUGCACCCCGGCCCCUGUCUACACCCCAGCCCCACCUGGGCCAGGCACUUCAAUGCUCCCGGUGACAGAGGCAGGCAGUGCAGCACCAUUAGCCCCAUCUUACAGAUGAAGAUACUGAGGCUCACCCCAGGGGCAGGGAGUUGAGAAUCCUCAAGGGAAAAAACUCAGGUGUUUCCCCAAAUCAAAGGGAAAAAACAAAGGACUGCAUGGGGCUCCAAGUGACCAAGCUAGACUUGGUUACUGGGAAAAACAAGAGACCCAACUGAGCCACUCAGAAGUAAACAAUUCUGUCUUCUCCCUACCACCAGCUGGGGCAAAGGUGUUCGCUUGUUCCCCGCAGAUCCAUGUAUCAAAUCCGGGACAAAAGAAAGCUACAUAAUUUCAGAGUCCCACAGUGACUGGAAAUGUCCUGAAAUUGUAGUGGGAAGGCCUAACCAGGGAACAGGAAAAACCACCCCAGACAAGGAAUCAGGGGCACUGGGCUUGGCCUUGACUCAGGCACCUUUCU